rnacentral:rRNA from 1 species
CAUGAAGCCGGAAUUGCUAGUAAUGGCAGGUCAGCAUACUGCCGUGAAUACGUUCCCGGGCCUUGUACACACCGCCCGUCACACCAUGAGAGUUGGGAAUACCCGAAGCCUGUGAGCUAACUUUUAGAGGCAGCAGUCGAAGGUAGAAUCAAUGAUUGGGGUGAAGUCGUAACAAGGUAGC